AGGGAUGUGGCUCAGUGGUAGAGCAUUUGCCUAGCAUGAGCAAGGAUCCUGAGUUCAAUCCCCAGUAUCACAU
rnacentral:tRNA from 1 species